rnacentral:rRNA from 1 species
AGGAAGCGAGAAGUCGACGCGCCGAAAGGCGUCCGGCCCUCCGCGAGCACCCGCGGGGGUUCGGGUUUCGGACCCGGUCCGUUCCCGUUCCCACCGAGGGGCUGUCCGCGAUCAUGGAGGUGUCCUCGGACGGCGUCGGAGUCUCCGGUCCGCGACGCUACGGCUUGGAUGGUCCACCCGACCCGUCUUGAAACACGGACCAAGGAGUCUAACAUGCGCGCGAGUCGUUGGGUCGGACACGCUCCGCUAAACCCAUAGGCGCAAUGAAAGUGAAGGCCGCCGUCCGGUGGCCGAGGGAGGACGGGGCCGCUGGGGGCGCUCCGGCGUCCUCCGGUCCCCGCACCCCCGGGGCGUCUGAUCCCUCAUCGCGAGGGGAGGCGCACCCAGAGCGCACACGUUGGGACCCGAAAGAUGGUGAACUAUGCCUGGCCAGGACGAAGUCAGGGGAAACCCUGAUGGAGGUCCGUAGCGAUUCUGACGUGCAAAUCGAUCGUCGGAGCUGGGUAUAGGGGCGAAAGACUAAUCGAACCAUCUAGUAGCUGGUUCCCUCCGAAGUUUCCCUCAGGAUAGCUUGCGCUCGGAGGAGAGUCUCAUCCGGUAAAGCGAAUGAUUAGAGGCCUUGGGGCCGAAACGGCUUCAACCUAUUCUCAAACUUUAAAUGGGUGAGAACUCCGGCUUGCUCGACUUAUCGAAGCCGGAGACGGGGUCCGCUCCUCGGGGCGGGCCCCUGGGAUCGGAGUGCAUAGUGGGCCACUUUUGGUAAGCAGAACUGGCGCUGUGGGAUGAACCAAACGACGGGUUAAGGCGCCCGAAUCGACGCUCAUGGGAAACCAUGAAAGGUGUUGGUUGCUUAAGACAGCAGGACGGUGGCCAUGGAAGUCGGAAUCCGCUAAGGAGUGUGUAAUAACUCACCUGCCGAAGCAACUAGCCCUGAAAAUGGAUGGCGCUGAAGCGUCGUGCCUAUACCCGGCCGUCGCCGCAGGGCGGACCCGACCUCGGUCGGGUGCCGUUUGACGCGGCGACGAGUAGGAGGGUCGCGGCGGCGAGCGCAGAAGGGUCUGGGCUCGAGCCUGCCUGGAGCCGCCGCCGGUGCAGAUCUUGGUGGUAGUAGCAAAUACUCCAGCGAGGCCCUGGAGGACUGAUGUGGAGAAGGGUUUCGUGUGAACAGCCGUUGCACACGAGUCAGUCGAUCCUAAGCCCUAGGAGAAAUCCGACGCCAACGGCGACGGGAAAAAUUUGAAACCAAUGAGAAAGAAACCCGUUGAUCGGGCGAAAGGGAAUCCGGUUCCUAUUCCGGAACCCGGCAGCGGAACCGCUGUUUGUCGGGCCCUCACAAGGGGUUCGUCAGGGUAACCUAAAAGGGCCCGGAGACGCCGUCGGGAGCCCCGGAAAGAGUUUUCUUUUCUGCAUGAGCGUUCGAGUUCCCUG